rnacentral:lncRNA from 1 species
ACGGCCCUCCACAGCAGCUGAACUCCUUGUAGUUGUCACCAUGGACUCGGGCUGCGGGGAGCCCCGGACGCCCACCCCAGGUUCCUGCCUCGCCCUCAGGCUGACGCAGCGUGCCCAGCAGAGGAGCAGCAGGACGGGAUCUCCUUGCUGGCGUGCCUGCAUCCAGCUGUUUAUUGCACGUUAAUCCUGAAUUUGGGGGGCGAUCUCUUUGAAAGAUGCUCUUCCAAGGUGGCCCCCUUGUGUGGCGGCCCAGGGAUGAUGACUCAUGGCUUUGGUUUGGGCAGAUCUGAAAGACCUAUCGGUUAUUUUGUCUACACAGAGGGAAGGUUACAAUAAGCUGAUGUCAUUGUGACGGGCAUUGGUCUGUUCCCGUCUGAAAGAAUUCAUUUUCAGCAGUGGGGGGUAUGUGUUAGAUCUUUGUUUAUCUUGCAGCUGAAUUCUCAGCCAGGUCCAUGGAGUUUUGAGUCACCAAUUUGUGUGCAAUAAUCCAGAGGAUUAAAGAAUUCUUUUUUUCUUCUUGAUACAAAAAAGUAUUUUUUUAAAAUUCACAGAGGAGAAACAUAAUUUAAUUUUUGAAUAUUUUCUUUAAUAUUUUCAAAUAUAUGUGAAAGAGAGAGGGCUUGGCUGGCUUCAACAAUUGAAACAAAUGCAGCAUCUCUCAUUAAAAGUAUUACAUAAAAUGUAAGCACAAUACUAGAAAUGCUAAUGUAAUUUAUUCUAAUUGAAGAAUUAUUCUGAUUCACUAUAACUGUGAAUAACUAUAUAUAAAUUAAUGAUUUUUUAAAAGUGUGGAAAAAAGAUAUAUAAAUAGGAAACACUAGAAAUGAUAAUAUGAUAUUUAAUGACUAUUUGAUGUGUUGGAACAUUUUGAUUCUGGAUAAAUAUGAGUUUAAUGUAUCAGUAAUAUAUAAAUAUAGCAUCAUCAAAUAUAGCAAAACUAAUAUAAUUCAAAUAUAAUAUAUAAUAUAUACAAUUAUAUAUUUUAUAUAUAAUAUAUAAUUAUUAUAUGAAAUGAUUAUAUAUCAUUAUAUGGUGUAUAAUAUAAUAAUUAUAUAAUAAUAUAUAAUUAUAAUAUAAUUCGAAUAUAGGUCAAAUUAAAUAUAGUCAAACUAAUACUUUGAUACAAACUAAGUAAAAAUAAAAACAAAUCUCAGAGGCUUAAAAUACAAAAGAAUAUUUCUCUGCCACGUUUGAUGAGCAGAAUCAAUUACUACCUUAAUAGCAUUAUAUUUAUUAAUAAUAGCCUAAAUAAUUUUCUUUCAUUUUAGAAUUACUAUUGCAUUUCAACUUUCUUAUUCAGAAACAAUAAAUUAGCAUGGCAGAGAUGGCUAAUUGCCUUCUGGUUUGGGGGCAUUGGUCUGGACAUUCUCCAUUUUCUUAAUAACAAGAUCCCAAUUUUAUUAACAUGUAUUUACUAAGGCUAAGCACGACUAUGUGCUCAGCUACAUUGCCUGCCUCUCUUGCAGUUCCCAGUGGCCACAUGAUACAGUUCUGGUCAAGUGAGACUUCUGGGAAAGCCUUUACAAGUGAACAGAUUUGUCUGGAUUGUCCCUUUUGCUUUUUGCGAUAGUCUCUUUGAGCCAGGAAUGUGGAUGUGAUGGCAGUAGCCAUCUUGCACACAUGACACAAAAGCUCACACUUUGUGGACUAUGGAUGGCUACAAAAUCCCUAGAAAGGAGAUUUAGAAUGAAUUAGAGUCCCUAAUAACAUCUAUUGCUAAUUUUCUUGUUAAUGAGACAUGAACAUAUGUAUUCUAUGAACCAGUGUUAUGGAAUUUUCUGUUAAAUACAGCCAAACACAAUUUCCACAUGAUUCAAUUAAGAUCAGGAAUAAACUGCUAAGAUGAUUAAAAAACA